UGACCAAGGCACUGUCUCAGUUCAGGU
rnacentral:piRNA from 1 species